UGGGCGGGUUGGGCGGUUGGUUGGUUGGCUGCGGGGCCGGCGGUGACUCAGUGAGUUUCACGUUGGAGGUCUUUUAUUUUUCCGGCGCGGGGCGGGGGGGGCAGUUCCGCGGUAUUGUGAGCAGCCCUGAGGGGGGGGGGGAGGGCGGCGCUCUGACAGACUGUCCGCUUCCAGCCUUUUUGGUGCCCGAUUUGUGUGGCCUUUAGGUUCACUGUCUCGGGUUUUCCCGGGAAUUGUGAGGGGAAUAUCUCCAGAGCAGAGGGGUGUGAGGGGUGUGGGCCGCAGCGGGUCCUCUCGGCUUGUGAAUGCUUACAAACGCCUCACAGAAAAUAGAGUUCAGUCAAGCAUUUUGAGAUGUUUAUCAUGAAAGUCCUUGUAUAAUUGUGCUGCACUGAUCAAAAACAACAACAAAUUAUAUUUAUAUAGCACCUUUCACAUCAGGAAGAGGUCCAGUGCUUCAAAAGUCUGACUGUUUUGAUGUUGUGUUCUGAAAAUCUUCAUAUAUUUCAGAUCCUAAUGGAAGAAUUGCCUUGCUGUGAAUCUAUUUCUGUUUGAAAUUGAGAGUUGAUUAUACAGAUUUGGUCUCUUCUGAGAUCAGUCUUUCCAUUAUUCCGUUAGAGCAUACAUUUAAUCAAUAUGCUUUUUCCCUCAUAUUUGAUGAACCGAUAAAAGUAUUAUUCUAUUAGUCAUUAUUGUCCAGUUAUACCAUUAUAUAAGUGCAGUUCAAAUUUUAAGUUUCAAGACGAUGGUAUUUUGUUGAACAUCUAUUCAAAAAUGGCCAACUAUAGAUAAUGUAUUUACAUCAGUGUGUUUUUAAAUUUAAAAAUAGCAUCAUUGGAAAGUUUUUAAAACUUGGUUAACACUAACUUUUAUCAAUGUAACUGAAUUCAACCUCACAAUGUAUUUUAACAGAAUACAUUUUAAGAACAUUCAUUAUAUGAUCCUGACACUUGGAGUAUACAUUAUAGUGCAUAAACAUUGCAAUUAAUUUUAUACUGUAAUAAUCAGGUAACAAUUUUGAAACAAAUGAAUGUUAAACCCAAAUUAUUCUUUACUGCUAUGUUGACAAGAUUUAUCUCUAUGCUUUUAAAGAUAGAGAACUUUAGUUUCCGCUUAAUGCUAUAAAUUAGUAUCGAUAACAAUUUCUACUGUGAAAAAGUCCAUUACAAACAUCAUGACGAGUCAAAGUGUUUGGGAACAUUUAACAGACACUAGUAGCAGUACAGAUGUAGGUCAGAAGGAAGAUAAUCUUAUAAGUGUUGAUGGAAAACAAAGUGAUUCUUCAUUUUCAACCUUCACGAGCACUCUUCGUGCUGAAACUGACAUUGCUAAUACUGUUGUUAUUUCUCUUCCAUCUAUUGCUGGCAGUUCGAGAAGAAAGUCAGCUGUCUGGAAUCAUUUUACGAUGUCGACUGCAGAUGUCACCAAAGCAAUUUGUGCACAUUGCAAUCAAGCGUUUAGCAGAGGCAAAAAAUGGUCUGAUCUUGGUACAAGUUGUUUAAUGCGGCAUCUACGUCGGUGUCAUCUACCUGUACUUGUACAUGACUGGCACUGCUGCAGGUACAUCGACUUCUCAUUUAGGCCCAACAUUGUUUUCUUCUUUGAAAUGUCUACCUCUUCAUCAGGAGAUUAAACCAAAUUCUCCAAAAAUACCGAGACGACAAGCUUCAGAAGCAUGGAAUCAUUUUACUGUAUGUCCAUUAGAUUGCACCAAAGCUGUGUGUAUACACUGUCAUCGAGCGAUAAGCAGAGGGAGAAAAAGGGAUGACCUUGGUACAAGCUGUUUGAUGAGACAUUUAUAUCGAUAUCAUGCUCCUCUGCUUCAUCAAAGGAAAAAUCUUAUCCCAGGCUCAUCUCACUCACAUAACUACUCUCUGUCACCUGCACCGUCCUCUUCAGGGAACUCAAGAACGAAUAAACAUAGUAUUUUACCAUCAGUAGAAAGCACAGCUACGUUUCUUUCAUCUGCGGCAACCAUCAAGCCAGUUGCCACACCUGUUACCAGAAAAAAUAUUUCAAAAUUAUGGAAACAUUUUUCCUUGUGUUCUUCAGAUCUAACCAAAGUCAUGUGCAUCUACUGCAACUGUGCAAUAAGCAUAGGAAAGAAGACAUCACAACUGAGCGCAAGCUAUUUAAUUCAGCACCUGCAGCAGCGUCAUAAUGUGCUGGUGUGCAAUGAUGGCAUCUCAGAUGUUUCAUUGUUUUCUGCACUCACAUUUUCAGCAUCGUCCUUGAUUUCAGAAAUGUCAUUUAAAACUUAAGUUAGAACGAAGGCCUCAGAGGAGAGCAGUGAGUGGACAUCGCCACUAAGUGCCAAAAAAAUUACAAGCCUAAUUGCUGAAAUGAUAGCACUAGAUCUUCAGCCAUUCUCUGUUGUAGAGGAUGUUGGAUUUAAUAGAUUGCUAUCAUACUUGCAGCCACAAUAUUUGUUACCAUCUCCUUCUUACUUCUCUCGGACCAUUAUGCCAAGAAUGUAUGAGAAUGUGAAAGAAACUAUAGCUUUAUAUUUGAAAGAAGCAGAAGGUGGAGUAGUUCAUUUUACAACUGGCAUUUGGAUGAGCAAUCAGAGCAGGGAAUACAUUACACUAACCGCCCACUGGGUAACAUUUGAUUCUUCCAUAUGUCCACCAAGUCAGAAAGAUUAUCAUUGUUCUGCCUUGUUGAAUGUAUCCCAGAUUGAUUGUGACAAUAAUGGCAUAAACAUCCAAAACCACCUGGAGUCAUUGUGGACAACUUGGAUCACUUCUUCAGGACUUGAAAUUGGUUUCACUGUUACUGAUAAUGAGCAAAACGUACUGAAUGCACUUGGGGAGAGUGGACGUGUGGUUGUGCAUUGCUUUGUUCAUAGCAUUAACAUUAUUGUAAAUGAAGCCAUCAAGACACAGAGAAUGGUUCAGAAUCUUCUGAGUGUUGCACGGAAAGUCUGAACGGAUCUGUCGCUCACCAGAGGCAAAAGAACGGUUAGACGAGCUGUAAAAUGAAUAUAAUUUACCUCAACAUCUGCACAUCCAAGACAUUCCAACCAAAUGGACCACCUCAUUCUAUAUGCUUGAACGUUUUAUUGAACAAAAAAGGGCUAUCGAAGAUUUGUCUCUGGAGCAUAAUUUUGGAGAGGUGAUCAAUGGCAGUUAAUGGAAUCUGUUUUUCACGCAUUGAAACCUUUUGAACUUGCCAACAAGCAAAUGAGUAGCUGCACUGCAACACUCAGUCAAGUAAUCCCAUUAGUUCAAAUUCUGUUGCACAAGAUAGAUGUUUUAUUUGAGGAGACUGUGGAAAUUGAAAACAUGUUGAAGUCUCUGAAAGAGGCAGUAGUCUGCCACUUUUCAUCCAUUUUGCAUGACCCAAAGUAUAUCUUCUCAACUUUGGUGGAUCCUCGUUACAAGACAUCCAUCUUCACAGAGGAUGAAGUUGAGCUACAUAAGCAAGAUCUGAUUCAUGAAGUUGAAAACUUGUAUGGCAUCUCAAGAGAUAAGAGCUUAGACACUACUAACUGUAUUUCAAAAUCUUCAUCAAAUAAGACAUUUGAUGGGUGUCAGGAUGACUUGUGGUCAUUGCUGUCUUGUGUAAAAAUGCCAUCAGCAGAACCAGUUAAUUUGCAAAAGUUACCAGAGAGAAUGGUAUUGGAGUAUUUUGAAGAAGACAUUUGAUCAAAGUUGUGAUCCUCUCCUUUACUGGAAGUUGAAAAAGACUAUCUGGCCAGCGCUUACCUUAGUUGCAAUUAAGUUCCUUGGGUGUCCCCCAUGUAUCCUAGCUCCUGAAAGAAUUUUUAAUACUGCGACUGCCAGUUGCAGUUUAAGUCACUCAAAGCCAAUACCUGAAAAUGUGGAAAGACUCCUCUUUUUGAAAAUGAAUCUCCCAUUUAUAUAUUUUCAAUAUUAGAAGUACUACUCCAGAUUUUCUUCUGGAACUCAAGAAGUAACCUAAGAUGGUGCUAUAACAUGGCAUUUGCUGAGGGUUCAUGUCGGUACAGUAUUUGCUUAUACCCCAUUAAAAUUAGUGAUGUAAUUAACAUUUUUGUUAAAUGUUUUUUCAAACUUUCAAUACUUUUGAUUUCCACACGUGCCUUAUCCAGAAUUCACUAGGUAUGAGUUUUUAAUUCCUAAAGGGUAAAUGGUAUUUGUUUAUAUAGGCUAAAAUGAAAGCAUUACUUUUGUACAUGUCAUUUUGCAAGGACCAUUGCUCAUAAAGUUGGAGAACGGUUAAAAAAAACUCUGAAUGUUUGAACCCACUGAGAACGUACAUGAGCAAUGCAGUUUAUUAAAAAGAAAUGUUUGUCACCCAA